rnacentral:rRNA from 1 species
AGUUGUCGUGCCAACGGCAGCGCUGGGUAGCUAUGUCGGGAGCGGAUAAGCGCUGAAAGCAUCUAAGCGCGAAACCGACCCAAAGAUGAGACUUCCCACUACGAUAAGUAGGUAAGACCCCAGGAAGAUGACCUGGUCGAUCGGCCCAAGAUGUACACGCCGUGAGGCGUUUAGUCGACGGGUACGAAUCGGUCGAGGACUUGACCUUA